rnacentral:SRP_RNA from 1 species
UCACUGUCAUGGUAGGCGGUGGAACCGUGUUUCAAUAGAUUUCUGACCUGGGUUCGAUCCCUACGGUCGGACGUGUUCGCUUUAAGCUUGAUCUACGGGUUAGGUUGCGGCACGCUCAGCUUAAUCAUCAACGAGUUUCAGACGUGCCCUGGUAAUUAAUCGAUCCUUGCGGGCAGCUCGGGGCGAGGUGUGAGAAGUCCAUCUCGUUCCCGGUGUGGCAAUGGCAGGCGAGGGUGUCUUCGGACUAACCCGCCUCUCGCGCUCAUAUCGCUGAAGGGGAGUUUUAUCCAGCACAGCAAGAGCGACCCGUGACGGAGGCGACUGGGAUGACACAGUCCUCGGCGAAGUGUUUCGGCACUUCAGAAUGAUGGGCUUAUGGUUGAAUCGUUAUAUCGUAAAGAUGCGAAACACUGGAACUUCGCCAAUAUUUUU